rnacentral:rRNA from 1 species
CGACACCGCGCGGAACCGAAGCCGUUCUCAGUUCGGAUCGGAGUCUGCAACCCGACUCCGUGAAGCUGGAUUCGCUAGUAAUCGCGCAUCAGCCAUGGCGCGGUGAAUACGUUCCCGGGCCUUGUACACACCGCCCGUCAAGCCAUGGGAGCCGGGGGUGCUUGAAGUGCGUCGCCGCAAGGCGCGCCCUAGAGCAAAACCGGUGACUGGGGCUAAGUCGUAACAAGGUAAC